rnacentral:rRNA from 1 species
UACGGAGGGUGCAAACGUUGCUCGGAAUCAUUGGGCGUAAAGCGCACGUAGGCGGCCUGUUAAGUCGGGUGUGAAAGCCCUGGGCUCAACCCAGGAAGUGCACUCGAAACUGGCGGGCUUGAAUAUGGAAGAGGGUCGCGGAAUUCCCGGUGUAGAGGUGAAAUUCGUAGAUAUCGGGAGGAACACCAGCGGCGAAGGCGGAGACCUGGGCCAAUACUGACGCUGAGGUGCGAAAGCGUGGGGAGCAAACAGG